UAUUGAGCAUGCGACAUGGAAAACUUUUAAACCUCGGCAAGAAGAGCAACUAGUAAGGAAUCCCCUUAAAUUGUUCCACAUCAGCCUAAAAAGACACCAGGGGAGUUCCCUCCCCUGUUUUACAACGCGGGGUUUAAAUCUCAGCCGCUUCAAAAUAAGCCCGACGUGCACGAGCGGAUGGAAGCGGCGAAACAGCCUGCUAGCUAGACCCUUUAGCCAGCUCAUUUAACAGCCACAGUUUAAUUAGCUCCGUCAGCAUCAUCUACGCGUCUGAAGAUCUCCAGUGCCGCCCGCGAGGAUGAGAAAUGCUUUUCUCCACAGGGUCGUCAGUCAGGUCCCGGGCGAGAUGGAGCCUGUCACGGGUAUCUUCGGGCGAGCAGCGGUUUACACCCUCUAACUAGUCGCCAGCCAUUCGCAGUAGACUGACUUAUGGAUGAGGAUUUGAAGAUCACAUCUCAUCUCAUCUCAGGCUUGUACGAGUGAUUGACAGGUCGGAAAGGUCCAUUGGCUGCCAACCAGUUCAGCGUGUAACCCCCCUCCUGCCCGAUGACAGCUGGGAUAGGCUCCAGCAGUCUCGCGUCCCUCCUGAGGAUAAGCGGCUCAGAAAACGGAUGGGUGGAUCAAGGAUGAGGGAAUGCUUUACAAAAUGUAUUCCUCCCUUUGGGGAAGAUCACUGUCUGCCAUCAGCCCGCCUCCCUCUGACCCGUGGCCCAUCCGGCCCGGCAGGCCCAGCAGGACAGUCUGGACCUCGGUGCAGCAUGUCG